GUCUCCUUUCACUCAUGUAAUCUCUCUCUCUCUCUCUCUCUCUCUCUCUCUCUCUCUCCUUCGUUCGAGCAGACAGUUCAUGUGUAUGUAGCAUUGUAAUCUCUCUGCAUCCACCAUUUUUACUCCUUAUACAUUCACGAUUCCUAUUCCCCUACCAUUAACGGAGAGAGAGAGAGAGAAUGCAGCACAAGCUGGGGCUCUGGAUCUGAAAUCUUUUUCACGAAGUCAAAACGAAAGGAUGGGGGUCUUGGGCGAAUCCUGGUGCUUCUGCAGCGGCGGAGGCAAGUCCGAGAGGAUCAAAGCCGCCAUUUUAUCCGGCAAAGGCCCGGCCAUGGCGAGAAUAGCAGGCGUCGGCGCAGGAGGGAUUUCCAGCACCGGAUUUUUAAUCCACCGGAACCUGCUGUUGACGUCGCACGUCAACCUCCCGUCGGUGGCCGCCGCCGAGGCCGUGGAGAUCCGCCUGCAGAACGGCGUCGCUGCCAGCCUUUAUCCGCACAGGUUUUUCGUCACCAGUUCUGUUCUUGAUCUUACAAUAGUGGGUGUGGAUGCCAAGGAUGCAGACUCAAAUGCUCAGGGGCAGCAACCCCACUACUUGAAAACCUGCUCUAAACCAAAUCUUGAACUUGGUAGUGCAGUUUAUCUUUUGGGCUACACGAAAAAAAACGAGUUGACAGUUGGUGAAGGAAAAGUCGUUAUAGCCACUGACAAUCUCAUAAAGCUGUCCACUGACUCUGUAACUUGGAGCCCUGGUUCUGCUGGCUUUGAUGUGCAAGGCAAUCUUUCAUUUAUGGUCUGUGAUCCCAUGAAGCUAGCAACAUCUCCACACACAAAAUCUUCUUCGACUUCAUCAUCUUCAUCUUCAUCUGUGAAGAAGGAUCUUCCUAUGCAAUUUGGUAUACCCAUUCCCAUCAUCUGUGAUUGGUUAGCCCAGCAUUGGGAGGGUAACCUUGAUGAACUCAACAAACCUAAGUUGCCACUCGUCAGGUUGAUGUCGGCUGGCCGGAAGUGCGAUUCCUUCACAAUGAAGAGGGUCUUCAAGUCAACAGAUCCUGAAAACAAUGGAACACCAUCGCCAUCCAUUGCAAUGUUGAAAACAAACGAUAAGCCGGGACCAAGCUGCUCUGCUGCGGCAAACACAUUUGACGAUGAAACCCUAACUGCUGAUCCGCGUGCUGCAAGCCAUGUGCAGGGGAUUCCAAAACCACAAAUUUAUGAAUCGCGAAAAUUGACCUCUGUCCCGACAAGGAUGAAGGAAAAUAGCCAAAUCCAACUCUUAGAUAUUAGUUUUCCUCCGAAGGUUGCCAAAACUCCAGUGUUGCAGCAACCUGCCAAGAGGCUGCUUGCCCCUUACUCUGACGAAAAUACCCUCAAGGAAGUUCCUCUGCAGCAGCCAUUGAGAGAAGAAAGAUUUAGUGACAGAAGACAGAUAGGUCCAAUGGCAGAUGCUGACAUGGCCUCAACUGGUUCUGUAAACGGGGGCCAUAGUGAGGUCCUGUCCAGUUCAUCCCCAAUAGAGGUGUCGGAGAUGCAGAAUGGGUAUUAUAGCAGUGAGGGAGAAACUACAAUGUAUUCAGCAGAAACAGCUGAAAGUCGUAAUUAUACGAGUCCAAUGGAGGGAAAGUUUCAGCAAGUAGGGAGGAGUCAGAGCUGUGUGAGUUACAACAGAUGGGGAGCUGUUCAAAGAAAUCCUGUGGUUCGAAAGGAGGUGCUAGAAACACGAAGGAGUUUUAUGCAAGGAAGACAGAUAUAUUCGCAAGGGGCGACUUCUCAGAGAAGUAAUGACUUUUUCAGCCCAACCCUCUCCUCCAUCAUGAAAAAGCGGAACAAUUCAGAGCAGCCAAAGCUGCCAAACAGGCCCCGGCCGAGUGUGGUCCAUUCAUCUCCGAGAUGGAUGUUCUAACUACAGGGACACCAUUAGUUUUUACAUUUCGGUUGAAUGCGGACUCAUUUAGUUCCUAUUUGCCCAUACUGUAUCUAAUUUAUUGCGAUUAUAUGUGCAGAACAAUGCCAAAGAUAUAUAAAAAUUCCACAGGAUUCCAGCGAUCUGUUGUCCAUCUCGGAAAGAAACUGACAACGUGCCCAAAACUUGGGAGGUAGAAGCGUCUACGAUCUACAAUCAAGGUGAGUUUCCAGCAAAACACCUUACAGUUGCCGUCUGGUAGUAAUAUAGUAGAGAAAGAGUGAAAAGGG